UACGGAGGGGGCUAGCGUUGUUCGGAAUUACUGGGCGUAAAGCGCGCGUAGGCGGCUUUGUAAGUUAGAGGUGAAAGCCCAGGGCUCAACCCUGGAAUUGCCUUUAAGACUGCAUCGCUUGAACAUCGGAGAGGUAAGUGGAAUUCCGAGUGUAGAGGUGAAAUUCGUAGAUAUUCGGAAGAACACCAGUGGCGAAGGCGGCUCACUGGCCCGGUACUGACGCUCAUGUGCGAAAGCGUGGGGAGCAAACAGG
rnacentral:rRNA from 1 species